UCUGGUUGAUCCUGCCAGUAGCAUAUGCUUGUCUCAAAGAUUAAGCCAUGCAUGUCUAAGUACAAGCCUAACUAAGGUGAAACCGCGAAUGGCUCAUUAAAUCACUCCUAAUGUACUGGACAGUCUCAGUUACUUGGAUAACUGCGGUAAUUCUGGAGCUAAUACAUGCGUACUAGCCGCGACUCACGGAGCGGUGCUUUUAUUAGAUCAAAACCAAACGGCCUCGAGCCGUCCCCCUGGUGAUUCUGAAUAACUUUGGGCUGAUCGCACGGACUCGUUCCGGCGACGUGUCCUUCCAAGGUGUGCCCUAUCAACUGUCGACUGUGGCAUAGACGCCCACAGUGGUUUUGACGGGUAACGGGGAAUUAGGGUUCGAUUCCGGAGAGGGAGCCUGAGAAACGGCUACCACUUCUACGGAAGGCAGCAGGCACGCAAAUUACCCACUGGCCGAAGGCCGAGGUAGUGACGAAAAAUAACGAUACCGGACUCAUCCGAGGCCCGGUAAUCGGAAUGAGUACACUUUAAAUCCUUUAACGAGGAACAAUUGGAGGGCAAGUCUGGUGCCAGCAGCCGCGGUAAUUCCAGCUCCAAUAGCGUAUAUUAAAGUUGUUGCGGUUAAAAAGCUCGUAGUUGGAUCUCGGCGGGCAGGGGGUGGUUCGCUCUUCAGCGCUACUGCCCCGCUUUGCCCGUGUGAUUGGCGGAGGUUUCGGGGUGCUCUUCGUUGAGUGACUCGGAGCGCCGUCAGGUUUACUUUGAAAAAAUUAGAGUGCUCAAAGCAGGCUUUUCACGCUUGAAUAUUCGUGCAUGGAAUAAUGGAAUAGGAACUCGUUUCUAUUUUGUUGGUUUUCGGAAAUCGAGUUAAUGAUUAACAGGGACUUCUGUUGGCAACAACCGGCGGUGGUAAAUCUCUAGUUAAAUGUCAUGCCGCAGCUGCAGCUUUGUUGCAUGGUAAGAACGUUUUAUAUAUUACAAUGGAGAUGGCAGAAGAGCGUAUCUCAGAACGUAUUGAUGCAAACAUGCUCAAC
rnacentral:rRNA from 1 species